GUGGUUGCCCUCCAUUGAUGAAGCUCUUGUUGGCACCAUAAAUUGGUUUUUCUUCACACUGUUUUGAUCAAGAGUAUGUGAAACUUUUGAGAAUUGUGGUUGCCCUCCAUUGAUGAAGCUCUUGUUGGCACCAUAAAUUGAUUUUGCUUCACACUGUCUUGAUUAAGAGUGUGUGAAACUUUUGAGAAUUAUAGUUGCCCUUCAUUGAUGAAGCUUUUGUUGGCACCAUAAAUUGGUUUUGCUUCACACUGUCUUGAUCAAGAGUGUGUGAAGCUUUUGAGAAUUGUGGUUGAACUCCUUUGAUGAAGCUUUUGUUGGCACCAUAAAUUGGUUUUGCUUCACACUAUCUUGAUCAAGAGUGUGUAAAGCUUUUGAGAAUUACGGUUACCCUCCAUUGAUGAAGCUCUUGUUGGCACCAUAAAUUGGUUUUUCUUCACACUGUUUUGAUCAAGAGUAUGUGAAACUUUUGAGAAUUAUGGUUGCCCUCCAUUGAUGAAGCUCUUGUUGGCACCAUAAAUUGAUUUUGCUUCACACUGUCUUGAUCAAGAGUGUGUGAAGCUUUUGAGAAUUGUAGUUGCCCUUCAUUGAUGAAGCUUUUGUUGGCACCAU
rnacentral:lncRNA from 1 species